UACGUAGGGGGCAAGCGUUGUCCGGAAUUAUUGGGCGUAAAGAGCGUUGUAGGCGGUCCGGUAAGUCAGCUGUGAAAGUCAAGGGCUCAACCCUUGAAAGCCGGUUGAUACUGUCGGGCUAGAGUCCGGAAGAGGCGAGUGGAAUUCCCGGUGUAGCGGUGAAAUGCGCAGAUAUCGGGAGGAACACCAAUGGCGAAGGCAGCUCGCUGGGACGGUACUGACGCUGAGACGCGAAAGCGUGGGGAGCAAACAGG
rnacentral:rRNA from 1 species